rnacentral:misc_RNA from 1 species
GUUGAGAUCAAAAUUAUUGAAGGGUGGAUUAAUGAGUACUAUGAUGAUCUAAGAAAUCAGCACCCUAAUAUAGCCCGUCGAGCUUUGGCCUCAUCAGCAACUGUUCACUCUCAUCAUAUUUCGCCUCCAGAUGAGCAUGAUUAAAUCUUUAGAGUAAUCUACUGUUAGGAAGAGAGUUAAGUGAGUAAGUCUACUGUGCAGUUGCUGAGUUGGCAAUAAGUGGCGGGAACAAUAAUAAUUGGUUAGCUGUAUUAGUCAAUCAAUGUAAGUCUUGUAUUGAGAAAGUAGAGUCAUGCAUUGAGAGUAUAAAUG